GGGGGAUAUUGCGCAAUGGGGGCAACCCUGACGCAGCAACGCCGCGUGAAGGAUGAAGGUUUUCGGAUUGUAAACUUCUUUUAUUAAGGACGAAAAAUGACGGUACUUAAUGAAUAAGCUCCGGCUAACUACGUGCCAGCAGCCGCGGUAAUACGUAGGGAGCAAGCGUUGUCCGGAUUUACUGGGUGUAAAGGGUGCGUAGGCGGCUUUGCAAGUCAGAUGUGAAAUCUAUGGGCUCAACCCAUAAACUGCAUUUGAAACUGUAGAGCUUGAGUGAAGUAGAGGCAGGCGGAAUUCCCCGUGUAGCGGUGAAAUGCGUAGAGAUGGGGAGGAACACCAGUGGCGAAGGCGGCCUGCUGGGCUUUAACUGACGCUGAGGCACGAAAGCGUGGGUAGCAAACAGGAUUAGAUACCCUGGUAGUCCACGCUGUAAACGAUGAUUACUAGGUGUGGGGGGUCUGACCCCUUCCGUGCCGGAGUUAACACAAUAAGUAAUCCACCUGGGGAGUACGGCCGCAAGGUUGAAACUCAAAGGAAUUGACGAGGGCCCGCACAAGCAGUGGAGUAUGUGGUUUAAUUCGAAGCAACGCGAAGAACCUUACCAGGUCUUGACAUCCAACUAACGAAGUAGAGAUACAUUAGGUGCCCUUCGGGGAAAGUUGAGACAGGUGGUGCAUGGUUGUCGUCAGCUCGUGUCGUGAGAUGUUGGGUUAAGUCCCGCAACGAGCGCAACCCUUGCUAUUAGUUGCUACGCAAGAGCACUCUAAUAGGACUGCCGUUGACAAAACGGAGGAAGGUGGGGACGACGUCAAAUCAUCAUGCCCCUUAUGACCUGGGCUACACACGUACUACAAUGGAUGUUAACAGAGGGAAGCAAGACAGCGAUGUGGAGCAAACCCCUAAAAACAUUCUCAGUUCAGAUUGCAGGCUGCAACCCGCCUGCAUGAAGAUGGAAUUGCUAGUAAUCGCGGAUCAGCAUGCCGCGGUGAAUACGUUCCCG
rnacentral:rRNA from 1 species